GACGAACGCUGGCGGCGUGCUUAACACAUGCAAGUCGAACGGAAAGACCCUGCUUUUGUUGGGUGCUCGAUUGGCGAACGGGUGAGUAACACGUGAGUAACCUGCCCUUGACUUUGUGAUAACUUCAGGAAACUGCGGCUCAUACCCGGUAGGAUCUCCUGCUGCAUGGUGGGGGUUGGAAAGUUUCGGCGGUUGGGGAUCGACUCGAUGCUUAUCAGCUUGUUGGUGGGGUAGUGGCUUACCAAGGCUUUGACGGGUAGCCGGCCUGAGAGGGUGACCGGCCACAUUGGGACUGAGGUACGGCCCAGACGCCUACGGGAGGCAGCAGGCGGGAAGAUGGCACAAUGGGCGGAAGCCUGAGGCAGCAACGCCGGGUGCGGGAUGACGGCCUUCGGAGUGUAAACCGCUUUCGCCGGUGACGAAGCGUGAGUGACGGUAAUGGGUAAAGAAGCACCGGCUAACUACGUG
rnacentral:rRNA from 1 species